rfam:Staphylococcus saprophyticus strain CNV2 Spades_3, whole genome shotgun sequence.
AACUUGAGAUUGCUCAGGAUUAAUAAAAUGAACGUGUGUAUCGAUGCCACCAGCGGUAACAAUCUUACCUUCAGCAGAUACUACGUCAGUCGUAGCCCCAAUAAUAAUAUCUACGUUAUCCAUAAUAUCUGGGUUGCCAGCCUUACCGAUUUUCAUUAUAUAGCCGUUUUUUACACCGAUAUCAGCUUUAAUAAUUUUGUUAUAAUCGAUAAUCAUAGCAUUGGUUAUGACGAGGUCGGCAACGUUUUUAUCGUCACGUGUUACGUUAGGAUUUUGAGACAUGCCAUCUCUAAU